rnacentral:tRNA from 1 species
UCCGGGAUAGCUCAGCGGUAGAGCGGCGCGCUGUUAACGCGACGGUCGCAGGUUCGAUCCCUGCUCCCGGAG